UACGAGGAUUUCUCAUAUUUUUUUCACUUCCGGGCGCAGUAAUACGUAUGUUUUGAAGAAGCUCGAAGAAUUUGACAAAGUGAAUUGAGAAGGAAACGGAUAGAUAUACGUUCUUGCUAUCAGGGCACAAACCCACUUUAAAGAGACUUGUCUACUGCCAUACCCAUCCUAUUUUCAUGCACCAUUUGCAAGCAAGAGACUGAAUGGUUUGCAAAAUUAAAAAUCAGGACGGUGUCCAAUUAAAACAAAAGAACUAAACUGGAUGAAUAUUGUAGGAGAAAUCUAGACAUGCUAGAGGAAAGUUUUGAUUUGUGAAAUUGGUUUUCCUGAAAAGUCAUUCAUCCUAGCCUGCAGAAAGGAACUACUCCCUAUGGAAUUACUCAAGUACCAUCAAUGUCUAUGUUUUCAGCACAGAUUUCACAAUUUAUGACACAGCUGUGCUUUUUUUUUAUACCGUUAAAGAGUUGUAUACUAAAUUUUAUUUUUUUAUCAAUAAAUAUAUAUUAUAUUAA